rnacentral:rRNA from 1 species
UGGGGAAUAUUGGGCAAUGGGCGAAAGCCUGACCCAGCCACGCCGCGUGAGUGAUGAAGGCCUUCGGGUCGUAAAGCUCUGUGGGGAGGGACGAACAAAUCUGGGGCUAAUCACCCGGAUCCUGACGGUACCUCCUUAGCAAGCACCGGCUAACCCUGUGCCAGCAGCCGCGGUAAUACAGGGGGUGCAAACGUUGCUCGGAAUCAUUGGGCGUAAAGCGCACGUAGGCGGUCUGUUAUGUCGGAUGUGAAAGCCCUUGGCUUAACUGAGGAAGUGCAUCCGAAACUGGCAGGCUAGAGUACCAAAGAGGGUCGCGGAAUUCCCGGUGUAGAGGUGAAAUUCGUAGAUAUCGGGAGGAACACCGGUGGCGAAGGCGGCGACCUGGGUGGAUACUGACGCUGAGGUGCGAAAGCGUGGGGAGCAAACAGG